rnacentral:lncRNA from 1 species
ACCAAAACAAUAUAGCUUGACAAGAUUAUUAAGGCUAGAAUGCACUGAACAAUUGCACUGAACAACACACACACAGACUUAUCCGUGUCACUAGUCUCUGCAGUGAGGAGAACACAUCAGUUCACAAAGACAAUAACGGGCAAUGGAGGAGAGUUAGAGAGAGAGAGAGGCAGUUGAACAAGUGAGUGAAAGAGGAAGAGAGGGAAAUAGAUAGAAUACAGUAGUUGACUCUGACAUGAAAAAAGGAAGGAAUUUCACCUAGGAUCUGACUCCUAUCGAGCCAAUUAGGCUGCAGGCUUCUCACCCGCACUCCUGCAUGGGGUCUCCAUCUUUUUGAGGUUGAAUAAUCUGGAUUGUAGGGGUUGCAGUCAUGCUAACCAAUCUGUCCACUCUGCUCCGACACUUCACUGAAAGUAAUUUCCAGUGCUCUGCGAUGUUUGAAGGAGACAGUUUGGAGACAGAAGGAGUGAAAACAGAGAGCAGUCUGGCCUCGUCCAUCUCCGCCUGCAAAAAGGUACACACCUGUGCUCCUGUGUGUGUGUGUGUUCACACUGAGCUUCAGAAAUGCAGGAUAAUCAGAUUAGCCACA